GAUGAACGCUGGCGGCGUGCUUAACACAUGCAAGUCGAACGGACAGGCCCUGCUUUUGUGGGGUGCUCGAGUGGCGAACGGGUGAGUAACACGUGAGUAACAUGCCCUUGACUUUGGGAUAACUUCAGGAAACUGGGGCUAAUACCGGAUAGGAGCUCCUGCUGCAUGGUGGGGGUUGGAAAGUUUCGGCGGUUGGGGAUGGACUCGCGGCUUAUCAGCUUGUUGGUGGGGUAGUGGCUUACCAAGGCUUUGACGGGUAGCCGGCCUGAGAGGGUGACCGGCCACAUUGGGACUGAGAGACGGCCCAGACUCCUACGGGAGGCAGCAGUGGGGAAUAUUGCACAGUGGGCGGAAGCCUGAUGCAGCAACGCCGCGUGCGGGAUGACGGCCUUCGGGUUGUAAACCGCUUUCGCCUGUGACGAAGCGUGAGUGACGGUAAUGGGUAAAGAAGCACCGGCUAACUACGUG
rnacentral:rRNA from 1 species